rnacentral:rRNA from 1 species
UACGGAGGGGGCUAGCGUUGUCCGAAGUUACUGGGCGUAAAGCGCGCGUAGGCGGGUUGGUAAGUCCGCUGUGAAAGCCCGGAGCUCAACUCCGGAGGGUCGGUGGAUACUGCCAGUCUUGAAGGUGCUAGGGGGAGAUGGAAUUACCGGUGUAGCGGUGAAAUGCGUAGAUAUCGGUAGGAACACCAGUGGCGAAGGCGGUCUCCUGGGGCAUUCUUGACGCUGAGGCGCGAAAGCUGGGGGAGCAAACUGG